AGUGCUUCAGGCUCUGCUCCAAGAACCUGGGAGGAGCCUCCUCAACUCUGUCUAUGAUGUUGGGUCAGCGUGUUCGCCAAUUUGGUGAGAAACUGGUCCGAAGGCGGCCACUGGAGCCGAGGAACGAGUCUGAGAUUCCCACACCUCAUCUCAACAGCUUCGACCUAGUGGUCUUUGGUGUGAACAGAACCCUGAGGGCUGGUGUGUACAUCCUAGCUGGUGCCGUGGCUGUGUAUGUAACUGGGCCUGCGAUCAUUAUCUCCUUCUUGGUGGCUGGCUUAUUUGCCCUGUUGUCUGGAUUCUACUUUGCUGAGUUUGGGGCCCGGGUACCCUGCUGUGGUUCUGUGUAUCUCUACAGCUAUGUAACAAUGGGACAACUGCAUGCCUUCAUCACUGGCUGGAACAUCAUACUGCAUUUUGUUCUUGCCACCGCCUACUUGACCAGGGCCUGGAGCUACACCUUUGACAGCCUGAUUGGGAACCACAUCUCGCAGGUGUUAGAGGGAACGUUCUCUGAGCAUAUGCCCUCGUUCCUGGCCCCAUACCCAGACUUUGUUGCGCUGGCCCUGGUGCUGCUGAUGGCUGGGCUACUGAUUCUGGGCGUUCAUGUGACAGCUCGUGUUACCAAAGUGUCCACAGGUAUCAAUGCUUUGGUUCUCAGCUUCAUCAUCAUCUCUGGCUUCAUUAAGGGAGACCUGCACAACUGGCAGCUCACAGAACAGGACUACAAACUGGCCGCAUCUGGAUCCUCUGACAGCUAUAGCCUGGGCCCUCUGGGUUCUGGAGGGUUUGUGCCCUUUGGCUUUGAAGGGAUUCUCCAAGGAGCAGCAAUGCCUUUCUACUCAUUCUUUGGUCUCAAUGCUAUUGUCACUACAGGGAAAGAAACCCCCAACCCUCAGCGUUCCAUCCCUUGGAGCAUAGGGAUCUUCAUCUCCAUCUGCUUUUUGGCCUAUUCUGGUGUCUCAGCAGCUCUCACCCUCAUGGUGCCCUACUACCAGAUUCAUCCUUACAACCCCUUGCCGCAGGCUUUCCACCAUGUUGGGUGGGCUCCUGCCGGAUACUUCGUGGCUGUUGUCAUCCUGUGUGCUCUUUUUUACAGCCUCCUGGUUGUCAUGUUGACCAUGUCUCGGUUGAUUUGUGCAAUGGCAGAGGAUGGGCUCCUUUUCCGGGGACUUGGCAAAAUCUACGCCCGAAGAGGCACCCCCAUCGUGGCCAUCCUGGUUUCUGCAAUUCUUUCAGGGAUCAUGGCAGUACUUUUCGAGAUCCAUCAUCUUGUGGAACUCCUGUCAGUUGGGGUCUUGCUUGCUUACUUCCUAGUGGCUUUUUCUGUCCUGGUCCUCAGGUACCAGCCAGACCAGAGCUUCAGCAAGAAGGAGAAAGUAGAGGAGGAAACUGAGAUGGAGCCUAUAGUUGAAGGAAAUCCUUCACCAUCUGUACCUGAAGCAGGAACCUCAAACCCUCUAAAGAGUCUGUGUAACCCUAUCAGCACCACCCCGACUCUGAAAUCUGGCCAGAUUGUCUAUGGAUGUGCCUUCCUGCUGGUUCUCCUGCUGACCAUCCUGAGCCUGCUUCUGGCCCUGUGGCCCAGCCGCGUGUUUUCUGGAGACCCCGGGUUCACAGCAGGGGCUGUGCUGCUGCUGCUGCUCAUUAUGUGGAUCACUGUCAUCAUUUGGAGGCAGCCCCAGAACCCCUCUCCUCUUCACUUUAGGAUGACUACUGGGACUUGGGCCCAAUUUGGCAUCUGGAAUGCUGUUGGAUUUGCCAUAUACUUUGGAUAUGGGAUCCGACACAGCUUGGAGGAGAAGAGUGAUCAAAACCCACCAGCUUCCAACUUCCAUACUUUUGAUGAACACACCUCUAGUGCUAAAUCCUGUUAACUCCAGCAAAUAGAUGCUGUGUGGUCCUCUCCAAAAGGGGAAAUGUAUUCUGGUUCAAGGGACUUUUUGAGCCUCUAUGGAGUGUGACAUUGGGAUGCAUGUAGAGCCUUCUAUUUAUUGCCACUGGACAGGAUGACUUUUAUGUAUAAUUUAAAGUAAACUUUUAAAAGUAUAACAUGCCUACAGAAAUGUGUAUGCUUCAUAAGUGUGCUCGCAAGAUGAAUUUUCACAAUUAAGUACUACAAUGUAACCAACAACAGAGGAAGAAAUGAACUGUUACCUUGCACAUAAGAAGCACUUCUUGGAGUCCCCGUCGUGGCUCAGCCAAAAUGACUCUGACUAGUAUCCAUGAGGACGCAGGUUCGAUCCCUGGUCUCACUCACUGGGUUAAGGAUUGGCUUUGGCUGUGGUGUAGGCUGGCAGCUGCGGCUCUGAUUUAACCUACAGUGUGGGAACUUCCACAUGCCAUGGGUGAGGCGCUAAAAAGCAAAGCAAAAAAAAAAAAAAAAAAAAAAAAA
rnacentral:lncRNA from 1 species